ACAUUAAUUCCACAGUAGAGAGUAGAGACUUGUAGGGCGUGUGAGACCUUGUUACCAGGCAGGCAUAAGAAAUCGUUAGGAAGUGGAGCCAUUCCCUACCGGCCUCUACCUGCUCGGGAACACGUAACCAUGACACCCCACUGAGAACCACGGGCACUGAGUCCUGAAGAUCCUUUUGCAAGACCUCUCCAGAGCCGGUUCACUCAGCAUCUUGGGGCCCUGACCUUGUGGUCCUGAGAUCUCACAGGCAGAAUCUGGAAAGCAAGUGCUUCCCAUCCAUCUUUCCCAUGAGGGAUGUGAUCUUCCUUGGACACUCAGAUAGAACAUCGCUGGUCAUGCUAGACACACAGACAAGAGAUGUGCUUGCCUGGUAUUCUUCUUUGCCUUUUCAUUGCUGUCAUCAGUGACCAGAAACUGCUUGGGGAAGACCGGGUUGAUUUCAUCAUGAAGGCCAAGACAGUCACCUGAGGAGAACUGAAGAAGAGACCACGGACAGAUGUUAUUUAUUCGUUUGCUGCCUUUGUUUUUUUUUUUUAAGCUAUCUCUUUUAUACAGCAAGGCCCACCUGCAAGGGAUGGUACUACCUACCUAGGACUGGGUCCUCCUUGAGUUAGAACUCAAGGAAGUGACCCACAGAUAUGUCCUCAGGCAAAUCUGGUCGUGGCAACACCCCAACCAAAGGUCCUUCUUUCCGGGUGUUCUGAAUGGACAGCUAAGUCACCACACCUGUAGAGACUCUAAGACGCUCAUGUCUACUCACUAGAGCUGAAGACAGGUUUUCCUCGAAGGCACUCAGAAUAAUUCUGCAUCACCUUGGAACUUCUGCCUCCAAGUAAAGUGGAGGACUCAAGUCGGCGGGUUGUUCCAGGGCUGACAUACACAGCUUCAUAAAGGGAGGAACUCAGUUUCUUGAGUUUCUGACUUCUGCUUGGUUUAUUGAGCCAUCCUAUUUGAGUAAGAAUCUGUACCUUCGUUCUGUAUUUGACCAGCAAAUUAUUCAGCCAGCCCAGGCCACAAACACCUGCCCACCCACUCUCCUCUUGGCCACAAUUGACUUCUUAUCUUCCACAACUCCUCAGAGCAAACACUGUCUACUCUGUCAUGUCAGAUGCCCCAGAUGCUGAGAAUGUGUUAGCCAUUAUCAAUGGUGAACUUGAAGUCUAGCUCAUCCAAACUGUGGGGCAGGUAUAAAAUGCUCACUUUGAAAACUCGGCACGAAGGAUGUAAAGUAACCUGUUACUUUUUAUCAUGACUACAUGUUGGCAUUAGAUCUCGGAGAUAGCUAGCUGAACCGAACACUAUUAAAAUAAAUGCUCCCUGCUCCUUUCACUAUUUUGAUGGAGUUACUACAAAACUUUAAAAUAACGUGUUUUCCUAUUAAUUUUUUAACUGGACAGCACUGGCCUAGGAUAAUUCCUUUUCUACCCUGACUUUUAUGGCUUGAAUCGGAGGUGCCCGCCAGUCUCAUGUUUUGAACUUGGUUCCUGUUUUGUGGUACUGUUUUUAAAGCUUUGGAGCCUUUUGGAGGUCUGGCGUGAAAUAGAUCAGUAUGAACAGACCUUCGAAGUCUACCCUUGCUCCUGGUCCUAGCCUGCUUCCCACUCGGCUGCCAUUUGAGGAGUCUUUGCCACCUACUCAAAAGCCUUCCCCAGCUUCACCAGGAUGGGCAGAAACCAUGAGCCAAAGGAAACGUUUUCACUCUUGUCCUGUCAGGUGUUUAUUCAGAGAGAUGUAAAAGUAAUGUACUCCCCAUCCUUUCAAUUUUGGGCUCCUCUCACCAGCAGCCAGGAAUGUUUCUGUCUUCUCUUCCCUGCCUGUUUCAACAUUUGAGAGACCAGUUGUCCUCAAUGCACGACACCGGGAACCAACGACUACCUCCUUUCAGCUGCAGCCCAAGCAGCACCUAGGUCUCUGCCCUGUACUUGGCGGGUCUGAAUAAAAGCUUAUGGGAGCCAUGA